rnacentral:rRNA from 1 species
UACGGGGGGGGCAAGCGUUGUUCGGAAUUACUGGGCGUAAAGGGCUCGUAGGCGGCCAACUAAGUCAGACGUGAAAUCCCCAGGCUCAACCUGGGAACUGCGUCUGAUACUGGAUGGCUUGAAUUCGGGAGAGGGAUGCAGAAUUCCAGGUGUAGCGGUGAAUUGCGUAGAUAUCGGGAGGAACACCAGUGGCGAAGGCGACUACCUGGCCUGUUCUUGACGCUGAGGCGCGAAAGCUAGGGGAGUAAACGGG